rnacentral:lncRNA from 1 species
CUCAUUUUCUCUUGCUGCUACCAUGGAAGAAGCGACUUUCACCUCCCGCCAUGAUUCUGAGGCCUCUCCAGCCACGUGAAACUCAAAAUGUGACUGAAAGAAGCAUUUGGGAAAUGUAACAGAAGUCAUUAAAAAGAGGACUAGGAAAGGCCAUGUGAGGACACAGUGAGAAGGGAGCCAUCUGCAAACCAAAAGGGGAACUCCAACCAGACACUGACUUUGCUACCACCUUGAUAUUCGACUUCCAGCCUCCAUAACUGUGAGAAGUUGAUUCCUAAUAUUAAGCCACUCAGUCAACGAUAUUUUGUUACGGCUGCCAAAGCAGACUAAUACAGACUUUCCCUGGCAAACAAAAACAGUUUGUUUUCAGUAGAACUGCCUUGUAAGAAAUGUUGUACACAACGGUGUAUUAUGUGACUAUAGCUUAUGGAAUAAAAACAAUGUUGUAAGUAGUGAGAGGCAGGAAUUGAGAAUAUUCUCUCAUAAAGUCCCUGUCCUGCCUAGGAAGUAGUACAGUGUUAUUUGACAGUGGACAUAGAUUCGUUUUAAGUG